rnacentral:lncRNA from 1 species
GUGGGAGUCUCUUGGCCUACAAAUACCUCUUUUGAGGAGUUGUAGCGAAAAAGAAAAAAUAGAGAGAUCCCAAGAAUAGUUUGCUGUCUUCAUUUUCGCUAAACUCUAUUUUGCAGGUCUCUAUAUGGAUCAAGUUUUGGUAUCAGAGUAUGUUUCUAGGCUAUGUAUGGUCCAUACGAGGGCUAUAUAUUAAGUGACUGGUGAACCUCUCACCAGCUUGAUGAAGCAUCGACGACCAUCACAAUCAAAGAUGAGCUCUUUAGAGGAGACCAAUUCAAUAAACGAUCUAGCCACAGAGAUC